UUUCCGUAGGUGAACCUGCGGAAGGAUCAUUAUUGUAUAACCGAGGUGCGAGGGCUGUCGCUGACCCGAAAGGUCGUGCACGCCCGAGUGCCCUCACACAUCCAUCUCACCCCUAUGUGCACCACCGCGUGGGUCCCCCUUUGGCUUGUUCGGAGGGGGGCUUACGUUUUCACACAAACUUUGUAUGCAGUGUAGAAUGUAUUUUUUGUUUUUGCGAUCACGCAAUCAAUACAACUUUCAACAACGGAUCUCUUGGCUCUC
rnacentral:misc_RNA from 1 species